CAGCCGCCACGGGAAUACAGAGGGUGCGAGCGUUAAUCGGAUUUACUGGGCGUAAAGCGUGCGUAGGCGGCUUCUUAAGUCGGAUGUGAAAUCCCUGAGCUUAACUUAGGAAUUGCAUUCGAUACUGGGAAGCUAGAGUAUGGGAGAGGAUGUAGAAUUCAAGGUGUAGCGGUGAAAUGCGUAGAGAUCUGGAGGAAUACCGAUGGCGAAGGCAGCCAUCUGGCCUAAUACUGACGCUGAGGUACGAAAGCAUGGGGAGCAAACAGGAUUAGAGACCCCAGUAGUCCCUGUCUCUUAUACA
rnacentral:rRNA from 1 species